UCUUGAGUUCGUAGGUUCGAUUCGAAGCGUCGCUGGAAAUUCCAAUUAAGAUUAUUAUUGCUGCAAAAACGUUUCAGCAAUUUAAUUGUUUAUAAUAGUGAGCAUUUCCCAAAAAGUCUGUUCUCACGCCAAGUAUACUUUUGUUUCUCCACUGUCCAUUAGAAAACUAUGUGUUAUAUCGAAAGGUGUCCCCUCCCCUUACACGUGGUUGAUACAAACGAGACAAGUAGCCUAAUAACACAUUCCAGAUCACGUCGAUCGUUUCGCCUGCAUUGGAUUUUUAAUGACUCCUUACUUAAAGGGUGUGUGCUUAAGAGAAUGUUGUGUGUGCAUCAGGCCAGUGUUAGACAUUAAACCAUCGUUUAACUCAAAUCCAACAAGUCUAGUGCCUUUCAAUAGCAUGCAAGUAGUGUGACGAUAUCUCUGAAAAAUCCAGAAAAUUCUAGUGAUGGAGAACAUGUGCUUGAUGAAAUGAACAUUCCAUCACAAACUCCCUUAACUGAAAUGCUGAAAGUUGGAACAACCGUUGAGAUAACACACUCAAAGUCAAGCUCGAUGGCCACACUGUCGCCGGACACACGAUCAACGCCAAGUUAUCUCAUACUUCUGCUGGAUGGAAAGUUUCUCCUACAGCCAAGCCCUACUUACGGCGUUAGUUUUUAUCGACACUUUUGCGAGUGCAGCGAAUAAGGGCAGUUACCAAAACUGGAUCGACGACGCAACUUAAUCCAGCUGCGGAAGCCAUUUCAUUCACCACCUGGUACGACGAAAUAAGCAUGAUGUACAACACGAAGCCUUUCAUUGAAAAGAAAUUUUACCGUCGCAUCCGACUCGUCUGCGGAGAAAUGUUCCUUAAAGUCUAUAAUAGACGACAAUAAGAAAGGAACACGUUGAUUCAACACGUCAUUCAGCGCUUCUUGACCAAGCUGGCGGAAGCAAAGAAUCACACCGACAAUUGUCAUCCUCUGGAGUAAGUUGUCCACCUCUGAUGAAUUAAAAAAAUGAAAAAUCAACAAUUACCCAGUCACCAAAUUAAUGCUCAGUUGACUUACGUUGGAGGCGUUUUGCCCAUUCUUUCAUGUGUUCUGGUCUAUCAAAAUUUGUUCGAAGAGCCACGAGAACGUCCUUGUUCAUCAACACAAGUUUCUGUUUUUGAAAAAAGUAAUAAAGUUUAUUAGAUGAAAUU